rnacentral:tRNA from 1 species
GACACUUUGGCCGAGUGGUUAAGGCGAUGCCCUGCUAUCAAGCAUAUCAAGGCAUUGUGUUCGCACGCGCAGGUUCGAAUCCUGCAGGUGUCG